rnacentral:rRNA from 1 species
GCGACUUACGUUCAGUAGCAAGCUUAACCGUAUAGGGCAGGCGUAGCGAAAGCGAGUCCGAAUAGGGCGUUCAGUUGCUGGGCGUAGACCCGAAACCAGGUGAUCUAUCCAUGGCCAGGAUGAAGGUGCGGUAACACGUACUGGAGGUCCGAACCCACUAACGUUGAAAAGUUAGGGGAUGAGCUGUGGAUAGGGGUGAAAGGCUAAACAAACCUGGAAAUAGCUGGUUCUCUCCGAAAACUAUUUAGGUAGUGCCUCGUGUCUCACCUUCGGGGGUAGAGCACUGUCAUGGUUGGGGGGUCUAUUGCAGAUUACCCCGCCAUAGCAAACUCCGAAUACCGAAGAGUGCAAUCACGGGAGACAGACAUCGGGUGCUAACGUCCGGUGUCAAGAGGGAAACAACCCAGACCGCCAGCUAAGGUCCCCAAAUAUAGCUAAGUGGGAAACGAAGUGGGAAGGCUAAAACAGUCAGGAGGUUGGCUUAGAAGCAGCCACCCUUUUAA